rnacentral:rRNA from 1 species
GAUGAACGCUAGCGGCAGGCUUAACACAUGCAAGUCGAGGAGUAGGAGAAGCUUGCUUUUCUGAGACCGGCGCACGGGUGCGUAACGCGUAUGCAAUCUACCUUUCACAGAGGGAUAGCCCAGAGAAAUUUGGAUUAAUACCUCAUAGUAUAAUUGAAUGGCAUCAUUUAAUUAUUAAAGAUUUAUCGGUGAAAAAUGAGCAUGCGUCCCAUUAGCUAGUUGGUAUGGUAACGGCAUACCAAGGCAACGAUGGGUAGGGGUCCUGAGAGGGAGAUCCCCCACACUGGUACUGAGACACGGACCAGACUCCUACGGGAGGCAGCAGUGAGGAAUAUUGGACAAUGGGCGCAAGCCUGAUCCAGCCAUGCCGCGUGCAGGAUGACGGUCCUAUGGAUUGUAAACUGCUUUUAUACAGGAAGAAACACUCCCUCGUGAGGGAGCUUGACGGUACUGUAAGAAUAAGGAUCGGCUAACUCCGUGCCAGCAGCCGCGGUAAUACGGAGGAUCCAAGCGUUAUCCGGAAUCAUUGGGUUUAAAGGGUCCGUAGGCGGUCAGGUAAGUCAGUGGUGAGAGCCCAUCGCUCAACGGUGGAACGGCCAUUGAUACUGUCUGACUUGAAUUAUUAGGAAGUAACUAGAAUAUGUAGUGUAGCGGUGAAAUGCUUAGAGAUUACAUGGAAUACCAAUUGCGAAGGCAGGUUACUACUAAUUGAUUGACGCUGAUGGACGAAAGCGUGGGUAGCGAACAGGAUUAGAUACCCUGGUAGUCCACGCCGUAAACGAUGGAUACUAGCUGUUGGGAGCAAUCUCAGUGGCUAAGCGAAAGUGAUAAGUAUCCCACCUGGGGAGUACGAACGCAAGUUUGAAACUCAAAGGAAUUGACGGGGGCCCGCACAAGCGGUGGAGCAUGUGGUUUAAUUCGAUGAUACGCGAGGAACCUUACCAAGGCUUAAAUGUAGAUUGACCGUUUGGAAACAGAACU